rnacentral:lncRNA from 1 species
UGAGGAGAUAAGUGACAUAAACUGGCAUGUUCUGAAAGAAUCACUCUGGAUGCUGUGUGGAGAAAACACUGAAAAGGAAUUUGUUAUCUCGAUUAUGGAGGGCGACAAGUCCCACAGUCUGCCAUCUGCAGGAUGGAGAACCAGGGGGAGAAUAAUUGACUCCAUUCAAGUGUUCGCUCCUGUUUCAAUCAACUAUGGCUGAAGAGUGAGGAGACAUUUGGAAUAAAUAUGGCUUCUGGGGGCCCAUUCCUAUGGAUCAGCAGCUGGCUUCUGGAGGCCCAUUCCUGUGAAUCGUCGAUCUCAUAGAAGAUAAUAUUGUUAGAAGGCUUACCUCAUUGAUGCUGAACAUCCUAAAAAGCUUCUGCUGCUUUGAGUCACUGAAAAAGACCAAGAAACAUGAAUUUAAAAAAAAAUUUCAAAUGUUAUAAAAUAAAUAAUAUGAACUCAUUAUACCUA